rnacentral:rRNA from 1 species
AUGAACGCUGGCGGCGUGCCUAAUACAUGCAAGUCGAGCGAACAGACGAGGAGCUUGCUCCUCUGACGUUAGCGGCGGACGGGUGAGUAACACGUGGAUAACCUACCUAUAAGACUGGGAUAACUUCGGGAAACCGGAGCUAAUACCGGAUAAUAUAUUGAACCGCAUGGUUCAAUAGUGAAAGACGGUUUUGCUGUCACUUAUAGAUGGAUCCGCGCCGCAUUAGCUAGUUGGUAAGGUAACGGCUUACCAAGGCGACGAUGCGUAGCCGACCUGAGAGGGUGAUCGGCCACACUGGAACUGAGACACGGUCCAGACUCCUACGGGAGGCAGCAGUAGGGAAUCUUCCGCAAUGGGCGAAAGCCUGACGGAGCAACGCCGCGUGAGUGAUGAAGGUCUUCGGAUCGUAAAACUCUGUUAUUAGGGAAGAACAAAUGUGUAAGUAACUAUGCACGUCUUGACGGUACCUAAUCAGAAAGCCACGGCUAAGUACGUG